GCCUUCGUGGUGUAGUGGUCAGUACGCUCGACGCGUAACCGAGAGGUCCGUGGUUCGAUUCCCUGCGAAGGCG
rnacentral:tRNA from 1 species